rnacentral:rRNA from 1 species
AACGAACGCUGGCGGCAUGCCUAACACAUGCAAGUCGAGCGAGACCUUCGGGUCUAGUGGCGCACGGGUGCGUAACGCGUGGGAACCUGCCCUUAGGUUCGGAAUAACUCCCCGAAAGGGGUGCUAAUACCGGAUAAUGUCUUCGGACCAAAGAUUUAUCGCCUUUGGAUGGGCCCGCGUUGGAUUAGCUAGUUGGUAGGGUAAAAGCCUACCAAGGCGACGAUCCAUAGCUGGUCUGAGAGGAUGAUCAGCCUCACUGGGACUGAGACACGGCCCAGACUCCUACGGGAGGCAGCAGUGGGGAAUAUUGGACAAUGGGCGAAAGCCUGAUCCAGCAAUGCCGCGUGAGUGAUGAAGGCCUUAGGGUUGUAAAGCUCUUUUACCCGGGAUGAUAAUGACAGUACCGGGAGAAUAAGCUCCGGCUAACUCCGUG